UUACGGUCAAAUCACGCUGAAAACACCGGUUCUCGUUCGAUCACCGGAGUUAAGCAUCGUAGAGCCAGGUCAGUACUUAGAUGGGGGGUCCGCUUGGGAACACCUGGUACUGUAAG
rnacentral:rRNA from 1 species